CCUACGGGCGGCAGCAGUAGGGAAUAUUGCUCAAUGGGGGAAACCCUGAAGCAGCAACGCCGCGUGGAGGAUGAAGGUUUUCGGAUUGUAAACUCCUGUUGUUAGAGAAGAUAAUGACGGUAUCUAACGAAUAAGCACCGGCUAACUCCGUGCCAGCAGCCGCGGUAAUACGGAGGGUGCAAGCGUUACUCUGAAUCACUGGGCGUAAAGAGCGCGUAGGCGGGAUAGCAAGUCAGAUGUGAAAUCCUAUGGCUUAACCAUAGAACUGCAUUUGAAACUGUUAUUCUAGAGUAUGGGAGAGGUAGGUGGAAUUCUUGGUGUAGGGGUAAAAUGCGUAGAGAUAAAGAGGAAUACUCAUUGCGAAGGCGACCUGCUAGAACAUAACUGACGCUGAUGCGCGAAAGCGUGGGGAGCAAACAGGAUUAGAUACCCCGGUAGUC
rnacentral:rRNA from 1 species